rnacentral:tRNA from 2 species
GUGGCUGUAGCUCAAUGGCAGAGUGCUUGACUGUGGAUCAAGAUGUUGUGGGUUCGAGCCCCAUCAGCCACCCUA